AUGCAUCCAGAACAAAUAUGGGGAGCAGCAAUGAAUGCAGAUGAUAAAGAUGCCAUCCUCCAGGUCACUGCCAACCUGCCCUCCCACAACAUGGACUGGGCUGUGGUCCAGACCAACAUGAGAGACUUCCAGACAGAACUCUGGAAGAUACUGGUGUCUUUCAUCGAGGUGGCGCAGAAGCUGUUAGCACUGGACCCUGAUGCGGUGGAAUUGUUUAAGAAGGCGAAUGCUAUGCUGGACGAGAAGGAGGAUGAGCGUGUGGAUGAGGCUGCCCUGUGGCAGCUCACGGAGAUGGGCUUUCCCGAGACCAGGGCCAUCAGGGCCCUUCAGCUGAACCACCUGUCGGUGCCUCAGGCCAUGGAGUGGCUAACAGAACUCGGAGAAGAUCCAACCACAGACACGCCUCUUCCAGGCCAAGCUCCCCCAGGGGCUCAGGGGGCUUCAGCAGCCGCAGCAGCCAUCUCCGAGGCUGCCGCAGGAGCCAGCACCACUGCCGAGGAGGCCAGAGAUGAGCUAACGGAAAUCUUCAAGAGGAUCUGGAGGAAAAGGGAGUUUCCGCCGAUGCUUGGGCCAUCGUUUCCCUGAUGGAGAUGGGGUUCGACAAGGAGGUGAUAUACUCCCUCAGAGUGAACAACAACCAGCAGAACGCUGCGAGUCAGUGGCUGCUGGGGGACCGGAAGCCCUCCCCAGAGGAGCUGGACAAGGGCAUCGACCCCGACAGUCCUCUCAGGCCAUCCUGGAUAACCCAGUGGUAUAGCUGGGCCUGACCCAACCCGAAAACAUUCCUAGCAUUUGAAGACAUGCUGGAGAACCCAUUGAACAGCACCCAGUGGGUGAAUGAUCCAGAAACGGGUCCGUCAUGCUGCAGAUCUCUAGAAUCUCCCAGACGCUAAAUCUCAUGUAGGUGGCGCUGCUCCACUCGGCUGUCUGGCCACAGCAGCGCCCGGCGCAGCCCAAGACCGGACAGAGCGGACCUCGGCAGGAAACUCACUUCAGCUCCUCAGCCCUGGACUGUUGGAGGCGCUGUGGCUGCUCCUGCUCUCUGAUCUGAUUGCUUAUAAACGUCGGUGACUGUAGUGCGUAAGGCCGUAUUUUUAGCAUCUGACAGGUGUUUACAAAAAAGUGGUUGUGGCCCCAGGAAGUGGAGUAAUGGCUUCCUCCCGUGCUCCUCUGGGCUCUUGAGUUGCUACUUGAACUGCCCUCUAGACAUUUGCUUGGAGAGUCCACGUGUUAUUUAACGGAGACAGGUUUCAACUCAGAGUGUUAAUGUUAAGCAUGCUAAUUUAGUCACUCACGAAUGACUUUUCUUUAAUAAAUAAAGUCCCUUUUC